rnacentral:rRNA from 1 species
UAAUACGGGGGGUGCAAGCGUUGUUCGGAUUUACUGGGCGUAAAGGGCGCGUAGGCGGACCUUCAAGUCGGAUGUGAAAACUGGCAGCUUAACUGCCAGCCUGCAUACGAUACUGUGGGUCUUGGGUUCAGAAGAGGAAAGCGGAAUUCCAGGUGUAGCGGUGAAAUGCGUAGAUAUCUGGAAGAACACCAGUAGCGAAGGCGGCUUUCUGGUCUGAUACUGACGCUGAAGCGCGAAGGCUAGGGGAGCAAACAGGAUUAGAUACCCUGGUAGUCCUAGCGGUAAACGAUGGGUACUAGGUGUCGGGGGUAUCGACCCCCUCGGUGCCGCAGCUAACGCAUUAAGUACCCCGCCUGGGGAGUACGGUCGCAAGAUUG